AUAUCCUAAAUUCAUAUCUGUAUUCUAUAGCUAUUUAUUAAAUCAUAGGGAUUAUAGAUAUACAAUUUAACUAUUCGCUACAUUAUCACGUUACGUUCAUUAGCAUAUAUUUCAACGUUAUCAAUAUUAUCCACGAUCAAUUCUUGUCCAUAUUUGUAAUAAAUUUCACUAUUGAAAUCAUAUAUUAGUUGAGCAUUAAUGUGGAAUAUAGGAAUAAUAAUUUUAUCUUUCAUUACGCUAUCAUUACAAUAUCAUUACAAUAUCAAUACAAUAAUAUUCAUUUAAUCGAAAAUUUACAUUAAUUAUUAAUUAUUUGACACUUGCCCGACAACAAUUUACAUAAUUACAAAAUGAUAAAGAUAUCGAUGGACUGGAGGUGUUAACGACGAUGCGACGAUACAAUGCUUUAUUUAAUAUAUGUCAGUUAUUUAAUGUAUAUCAAGGGCAAAAUGUAUUUUUGUCCUAUAUGCACAGGAUGAUGUGUAGACUUUAGAGCUAGGUCGAGGCGAGGUUGGUAGUAGUCGAGUAUAUUUGAAGUGAGAAAGUUCGAUCCUCUCCAACUCAGAAGUGGCGUGAAGAUUGAAUCGUUGAAAUCUUCUUGGCAUCGCUAUGGAUGCAAACUGACACCUCAUUGUUUCCAAGAUGCAGAUGUACCAAAUAAACUUUCGAAUUUUAAACUUUCUAUAUUGGACGUUAAAGUUCAUUGAAUUGUCGAAAUCGACGAAAAAUUUGCCGGUUUUAUAAAGAUAUACACGUGUAUCUGGUUUAAUGUGAAGGUGAUUAUAAGUAGAUGUAGAAAACUUGUUUAUGGAUGUAUUCUUUGAAAGGAUGAUGAUAUUCAUGGGAUAAUUUUGGAGGAUCGAAAUAAAAUCGAAAUAAGAUGAUAUGCAAAAAUUUCCAUUUGGACUUUGUUUUUUGAGUCGAGCAAUUGAAUUUUCCAGCUACUGCGUAAUCUCUAUGAGUCCAAUAAUGCGGAAACAACCGAACUAUAGGGCUAGAAUAUCAUUGUCGAUGCUGCACUACUUCAACGAUGAGCUUUAACAUCGAGCACUGUUUCCGUCUUCGGAUCUUGUUCAAUUAUAUUGGAAUCAUAUUGGAACGUUUCAUUGGUUUGUAAUUUCGUGUAUUUUAGUUUAUAAAUAUCAUAUUUCAUAUACAGCUGAAUCUCUAUAUUUGUCCAUUCUUAUAUUCAUCAAAUCCAAUAUUCACCAUAUUUUUUUGAUAAGAUAAUUCGAAGAUAUAAUAGGCAUUAACAAUAGUUUUUAAAAUUUUGAUCGAAAUAUUCAGCAUGAAAAUCAUGCUUUGAAUACUUUAUAUUCGCAUGGUGCUCGACAACUGUGAUAAAUGUCGAAAAUAAAAGCCUUGAACAAGUCGAUUUGAACUGUAGAAUGCUUCUAAAUCAUAUUCAAAGUUAUAGCUUUUAUUUUUAAUUUUAAAUAUAAUAAUUUCGAUAAUUUUUACAUUAUGUAUAUAUUUUCAAUUUUUCUAUUUGAUGCAUAUUAUAUUUUUAAUAAAUUGGUGGGAAAAAUUUAGUAGAUUUAAAAAAAUCCACGAAGAUUUUUAUGGCCGUAACAAGAGCAUAUAUAUGCCAAUCCAUUUGAAAAACUGGCGUUCCAAGUGAGCUAUUAUCUUUUUUUGAACAUAAGAUUGUACAUCGUCUGUUGCAAUCAUAUUUUUCUUCUAAUUUCAAGUGAUAUAUCCUUCAAAUAGGAAAGCAAGAUAAUAUUUUCUGUGAAAUAUAAUAACUCUGCUCAUUUUUUGUGAUAUAUGGUCCAAAGUCAAGACAUGGAUUUAUCAUUCUAUAUUUCACUGAAAAUUGAUGUUAAAAAUUAUUUUU